UAGGGAAUCUUCGGCAAUGGACGAAAGUCUGACCGAGCAACGCCGCGUGAGUGAAGAAGGUUUUCGGAUCGUAAAACUCUGUUGUUAGAGAAGAACGUUGCAUAGAGUGGAAAAUUAUGCAAGUGACGGUAUCUAACCAGAAAGGGACGGCUAACUACGUGCCAGCAGCCGCGGUAAUACGUAGGUCCCGAGCGUUGUCCGGAUUUAUUGGGCGUAAAGCGAGCGCAGGUGGUUUAAUAAGUCUGAUGUAAAAAGGCAGUGGCUCAACCAUUGUGUGCAUUGGAAACUGUUAGACUUGAGUGCAGUAGAGGAGAGUGGAAUUCCAUGUGUAGCGGUGAAAUGCGUAGAUAUAUGGAGGAACACCGGUGGCGAAAGCGGCUCUCUGGACUGUCACUGACACUGAGGCUCGAAAGCGUGGGUAGCAAACAGGAUUAGAUACCCUGGUAGUCCACGCCGUAAACGAUGAGUGCUAGUUGUUUGGGGCUAUCCAGCCCUAAGUGACGCAGCA
rnacentral:rRNA from 1 species